AAACUGCACAAGAGGAUCAAAAUCUCUGGUUUCCUUCCCUCCUCUCUGAAAGAGCAGAAAGAAGGAAGCCAGGGGGCUGUUUCACCAUCCCAGCUGAUCACACCUAGACGUAGCUGCGUCCAGAGUGCUCCGUCUGAAAAAACCAUGCUCUGCUUUCCUGCCCCAACAUCAUCCCACUCCUGUCCCGUCUCCCCACUUCCACUCCCCUCUCCAGCUCAACAGCUUGCCCAUUUCCACUUCCAGCUGCCCUCCUGGCUUCACAUGUUCACCUUCCACAAUGCCCAGUCCUGCCAAACCCAGCCUGCCACAGGCAACCAGGUGUCAGCAGGAACAGCCUAUUUCUCUGUACACACACGUGUGUGUGUGCGCGCACGCACGCUGAUGCCAUUAUAAACUCUUCAAGCGCACCCACCCCCAUGACACCAAGCACGACUAAUGACUGCUCCCAUCUUUAAUUAAUUAUAACUGUUUUCUGCGGAGAAGGCAAUGGCACCCCACUGCAGUACUCUUGCCUGGAAAAUCACAUGGACGGAGGAGCCUGGUAGGCUGCNNNNNNNNNNNNNNNNNNNNNNNNNNNNNNNNNNNNNNNNNNNNNNNNNNNNNNGAGAAGGAAAUGGCAACCCACUCCAGUGUUCUUGCCUGGAGAAUCGCAGGACGCGGGAGCCUGGUAGCCUGCCGUCUAUGGGGUCGCGCAGAGUCGGACACGACUGAAGCGACUUAACAUCAGCAGCAACUAUUUUUUGAGUGCCUACCAUGUGUCAAGCACUCUCCUAAUCACUUUAAAGGAAUUUUAUUUAAUCCUCAAAACACCACCGCCAGGAAUCAGGGACCAUCCUGAUUCUCAUCUUACAGUAAGGAAAUCGGAGGAACCGGGAAGUCACCUGCUCAGGGUCACAACUGUGUCACUUCCGCAGGACUUAACGACCAGCAUCAACGCGACCAGCAUCAACGCUACCGGGCAGGAGCCCGGUCGGUUCACAGUGGCACUAAACUGCUGUGUCAUGAUGCAACAGCAGGUUCCUGAAAGGACAGGAAGAAGGAACCAGGAGAACCGUCGCGGUACAUUCCGGAUAAGGAGGCGGCGAGGGCUAGUGGGGGCUCACACCGAGAGACACUUCCUGGUUAUCGUUACUCAGCAUUUUGUGGGGGUUCGCGAGACUGUGGGGCGGUGGUACAGCGGGUCUUUCCGAGAAACCGUAAAUGGCCUCUUCUCUGGGCGCGUCCGAUUAAGGUGGGGUACAGGUUGACGAUGCCGAAGGUUUCGAGCCCAGACGACUCCCAGGAGCUCCGCCCCUCGCCAGCGCUCGCGCCCGCCCA
rnacentral:lncRNA from 1 species